rnacentral:rRNA from 1 species
UAGUCCACGCAGUAAACGAUGAGUGCUAGCUGUUGGAGUUUUGGGCUUCGGUGGCGAAGCUAACGCGUUAAGCACUCCGCCUGGGGACUACGGCCGCAAGGCUAAAACUCAAAGGAAUUGACGGGGACCCGCACAAGCAGUGGAGCAUGUGGUUUAAUUCGAUGUUACGCGAAAAACCUUACCAGCUCUUGCAUCUUGAUUAACGUUUUCAGAGAUGAAUUCUUCGGUUCGGCCGGAUCAAUGACAGGUGUUGCAUGGCUGUCGUCAGCUCGUGUCGUGAGAUGUUAGGUUAAGUCCUUUAACGAGCGCAACCCUCAUCCUUAUUUGCCAUCAGGUUAAGCUGGGAACUAUAAGGAAACCGCUAGCGAUAAGCUAGAGGAAGGUGGGGAUGAUGUCAAGUCAUCAUGGCCCUUAUGGGCUGGGCUACACACAUGCUACAAUGGUGAUUACAACGGGAUGCAAUGCAGCAAUGCGAGCUAAUCCUUUAAAAAUUA